GACAGAGGUCCCGAGCGUUAGGCGGAAUCACUGGGCUUAAAGCGUGUGUAGGCGGAUCGUUAAGUGCCUUGUGAAAUCCCAUGGCUUAACCAUGGAACUGCUUGGCAUACUGGCGGUCUUGAGCCACUUAGGGGCAACCGGAACAAAUGGUGGAGCGGUGAAAUGCGUAGAUAUCAGGGGGAACACCAAUGGCGAAGGCAGCUCGCUGGGACGGUACUGACGCUGAGGCGCGAAAGCGUGGGGAGCAAACAGG
rnacentral:rRNA from 1 species